ACGAGUGAGUAAUACAUCGGAACGUAUCCUGGAGUGGGGGAUAGCCCGGCGAAAGCCGGAUUAAUACCGCAUACGCUCUGAGGAGGAAAGCGGGGGACCUUCGGGCCUCGCGCUCAAGGGGCGGCCGAUGGCGGAUUAGGUAGUUGGUGGGGUAAAGGCCUACCAAGCCGACGAUCCGUAGCUGGUCUGAGAGGACGACCAGCCACACUGGGACUGAGACACGGCCCAGACUCCUACGGGAGGCAGCAGUGGGGAAUUUUGGACAAUGGGGGCAACCCUGAUCCAGCAAUGCCGCGUGUGUGAAGAAGGCCUUCGGGUUGUAAAGCACUUUUGUCCGGAAAGAAAUCAUCGGGGCCAAUACCCCUGGUGGAUGACGGUACCGGAAGAAUAAGCACCGGCUAACUACGUGCCAGCAGCCGCGGUAAUACGUAGGGUGCGAGCGUUAAUCGGAAUUACUGGGCGUAAAGCGUGCGCAGGCGGUGCUGUAAGACCGAUGUGAAAUCCCCGGGCUUAACCUGGGAACUGCAUUGGUGACUGCAGCGCUGGAGUAUGGCAGAGGGGGGUGGAAUUCCACGU
rnacentral:rRNA from 1 species